AACGAACGCUGGCGGCAGGCCUAACACAUGCAAGUCGAACGCCCCGCAGGGGGAGUGGCGCACGGGUGAGUAAUGCGUGGGAACGUACCCAGCAGUACGGAGUAACCCAGGGAAACCUGGGCUAAUACCGUAUACGUCCUAAGGGAGAAAGAUUUAUCGCUGUUGGAGCGGCCCACGUCGGAUUAGCUAGUGGGUGAGGUAACGGCCCACCAAGGCUACGAUCCGUAGCUGGUCUGAGAGGACGACCAGCCACACUGGGACUGAGACACGGCCCAGACUCCUACGUGAGGCAGCAGUGGGGAAUAUUGGACAAUGGGGGCAACCCUGAUCCAGCCAUGCCGCGUGGGUGAUGAAGGCCUUAGGGUUGUAAAGCUCUUUCGACGGGGACGAUAAUGACGGUACCCGUAGAAGAAGCCCCGGCUAACUCCGUGCCAGCAGCCGCGGUAA
rnacentral:rRNA from 1 species